rnacentral:rRNA from 1 species
GACGAACGCUGGCGGCGCGCUUAACACAUGCAAGUCGAACGGAAAGGCCUGCUUUCCCUUGUGUUUUGCGGGUACUCGGGUGGCGAACGGGUGAGUAACACGUGAUUUAUCUGCCCCCAACUUGGGUAUAAGCCUGGGAAACUGGGUCUAAUUCUCGAUAGUACGGCAGGGUGCUGCCUGUGGUGGAAAACGAUUUUCUAGUGUUUGGGGAUGAGCUCGCGGCCUAUCAGCUUGGUGGAGGGGUAAUGGCCUACCAAGGCGGGGCGGGGUAGCCAGCGUGGGAGGGUGGACGGCGGCACUGGGACUGGGAUCCGGCCCAGACGGCUACGGGAGGUAGCAGAGGGGAAUAAUGGAGAAUGAGCGGGAGCCAGAUGCAGCGAGGCCGCGUGGGGGAUGACGGGCUUGGGGUGGUAAUCUCCUGUGGACCGAGAGGAAGCCACCUGGUUGGAAGGGUGGUGACGGUAGUGGUAGAAGAAGCACCGGCUAACUACGUG